rnacentral:tRNA from 1 species
GCAGCCGUGGCCUACUGGUUAGGGCUUAGGUUUUGUAACCGAAGGGUUGCCGGUUCGAUCCCCGACCAGUAGGA